rnacentral:rRNA from 1 species
UACGUAGGGGGCGAGCGUUGUCCGAAGUUACUGGGCGUAAAGCGCGCGUAGGCGGUCCUUUAAGUCUGGUGUGAAAGGUUCAGGGCUCAACCCGAACAGUGCACUGGAUACUGGGGGACUUGAGUGCGGGAGAGGAGAGUGGAAUUCCUGGUGUAGCGGUGAAAUGCGUAGAUAUCAGGAGGAACACCCGUGGCGAAGGCGGCUCUCUGGCCUGCAACUGACGCUGAGGCGCGAAAGCUAGGGGAGCAAACGGG